rnacentral:rRNA from 1 species
CGGAGAGUUUGAUCCUGGCUCAGAACGAACGCUGGCGGCAGGCUUAACACAUGCAAGUCGAGCGCCCCGCAAGGGGAGCGGCAGACGGGUGAGUAACGCGUGGGAAUCUACCUUUUGCUACGGAAUAACGCAGGGAAACUUGUGCUAAUACCGUAUGUGUCCUUCGGGAGAAAGAUUUAUCGGCAAGAGAUGAGCCCGCGUUGGAUUAGCUAGUUGGUGGGGUAAAGGCCUACCAAGGCGACGAUCCAUAGCUGGUCUGAGAGGAUGAUCAGCCACAUUGGGACUGAGACACGGCCCAAACUCCUACGGGAGGCAGCAGUGGGGAAUAUUGGACAAUGGGCGCAAGCCUGAUCCAGCCAUGCCGCGUGAGUGAUGAAGGCCCUAGGGUUGUAAAGCUCUUUCACCGGAGAAGAUAAUGACGGUAUCCGGAGAAGAAGCCCCGGCUAACUUCGUGCCAGCAGCCGCGGUAAUACGAAGGGGGCUAGCGUUGUUCGGAAUUACUGGGCGUAAAGCGCACGUAGGCGGAUCGAUCAGUCAGGGGUGAAAUCCCAGGGCUCAACCCUGGAACUGCCUUUGAUACUGUCGAUCUGGAGUAUGGAAGAGGUGAGUGGAAUUCCGAGUGUAGAGGUGAAAUUCGUAGAU